AGUGAACGCUGGCGGCAGGCCUAAUACAUGCAAGUCGAACGGCAGCACAGUGGAGCUUGCUCCAUGGUGGCGAGUGGCGGACGGGGUGAGGAAUACAUGGGAAUCUGCCCAGUCGUGGGGGAUAACGUAUGGAAACGUACGCUAAUACCGCAUGCGCCUUCGGGGAAAGUCGGGACGCAAGGCCUGACGCGAUUGGAUGAGCCCAUGUUCGAUUAGCUAGUUGGCGGGGUAACGGCCCACCAAGGCGACGAUCGAUAGCUGGUCUGAGAGGAUGAUCAGCCACACUGGAACUGAGACACGGUCCAGACUCCUAC
rnacentral:rRNA from 1 species